GGGUCCUCGCCGGCUGACGGUGACGCUGACGGUGAGGCAGUGGCGCUGCGGGGAGCAAGCCUCUUCGGGCACUCUCCCCUCGUCUCUCUGCGGUUAAUGGCGGCGAGAUGGAGCGCGAGGGGAGCGGAAGCAGCGGGGAGUCGGCCGGGCUCCUGCAGCAGAUCCUCAGCCUGAAGCUGGUGCCGCGGGUGGGCAACGGGACCCUGUGCCCCAACUCCACUUCUCUCUGUUCCUUCCCAGAGAUGUGGUAUGGUGUGUUCCUGUGGGCACUGGUGUCUUCUCUCUUCUUUCAUGCCCCUGCCGGAUUACUGGCCCUCUUCACCCUCAGACAUCACAAAUAUGGUAGGUUCAUGUCUGUAAGCAUCCUGUUGAUGGGCAUCGUGGGACCAAUUACUGCUGGAAUCUUGACAAGUGCAGCAAUUGCUGGAGUUUACCGAGCAGCAGGGAAGGAAAUGAUACCAUUUGAAGCCCUCACCCUGGGCACUGGACAGACAUUUUGUGUACUGGUGGUCUCCUUUUUACGCGUUUUAGCUACUCUAUAGCAUACACCCUUAUGCUGUGAUGUCAAACUUAAGUUUUUUCGAAUCCUCAAAAAGAACACCUUAUGGAGUGUAGUGUUUUCUUAGUUCUUCAAUUGGAAGCCACUUGGAUGCACAAGAAUGUGGAAGACAAUAUAUCAGCCCCUUUCUUCAGUGUGAAGCUCUAGGAUCUGAAGAUCUUUGUGGACUCCUAUCAUUCUCAACCAAAACAAAACAAGUUUCUUGGCUUGCUUUCUUGUAGAUAUUUAAUUUAAGCAGUUUUACAUGUGUACCUUUACCCAAGCCAGAUGAUCUGUCCAAUGCUGAGAGAUGUGAUCGGGUCCCCCAAUAUUAUCAUAGAGCAGAUGCUGCUUCUGUCACUCUGAAAUGGGCUUUGUCGAAAGAGACAUCCUCUUCUUUUCUUUGACUGUGCUGGUGACUCUCCUUGUGUGAAUGCACUCUUCCAAGCAGAUUUUUAAAGAUUCCAGUUUUCAGUUCAAGGAGCUAUGAUUUUGGAAAGUGUCCCUUCAGUUUAAGAAAUUUGGGGGUUUGGAUCCCUGUACCGGACAGAUGCAAAAAAAAGGGUGGGGGCGAUUUUGAUCAUCGCUAUUGAAGGAUGCCUCUUAUUAAGAGUUCUCACCUGACUAACAUUCUUUUGGAUAUAAUUUCAUAAACUAAACAUGUGGGUCAGUAGUUAGUGGGCCUUUCCCUCAGAAUACUAAUUUUUGAACUAAUUAUAUUGGUCUAUGAUUAAAAUGUUAUCUUAUUUUUCUUUAGAGCCAAGACACAAAAAUCAAGGUAUUUUGAAAAUUGUCUUUGUUUCCAUCUGUUUCUUGUUUGAUAUAUUUUGAUUAUCUACUCUUUUUAAAAACUGCAGAUAUGAAAUAUAUCUUCACAUUAUUGAAUGUUUCAUCCCUCCCAACAUGUGAAGCAUUCUCUGGUGAAUAAAGAUAUAUAGACUUUAUAUACAAGGGUACUUCAAAAAGUUUGUGGAAAAAUACAAUUGAAGACAAAACAAAUCUUUCCAUGAGCUUUCUGAGGUACCCUCAUAAAUUGAGCUGUGUAGCUUAAAAUGUUUUCAGGGAGAAACUACUGGAAUGAUAAAAAAAUGUCUAUUCCACUUAGGUUUUCUUUUUUUUUUUUUAAUGCCUCAAAUACACAACUAUUUUGGGGUGUUUACUCAGAUGGAAUAUUGGUAUUUAUGUUGAACAUUUUAUUUUACCUCAACCUCCCCCAACUGGGCUUUCACUAUUUUUUUUUUUUUUUUUUUUUUUUAGUGUGGGUGAGGAAGGCAACCCCCAACCAUAAAAGCUGAUUUCUUGAUUCUUUAGUAUGGGGUUUUGGGAUGAAAGCAUUUCAUGAAAACUUAAGUUCAUCUACAAAAGCAUAAUGAAUAUUCCAAGAGAUGUCUCUCUGUGCUAUUAUAUUUUUUUGCAGCAAAAUAUUACUACUUAGGAAAUAUUUAAACUAGUGAGAAAAAGUUUAUGCAAAUAAUUACCUUUACAUCCUUCCUUACGUUUUUUAACUUUUUAAAUUGUAUGUUGGCUUUUCUGACUACUCUGGUUUGAAUUAAGUUCAUAUUGCACUACAGUACACACCAACCUUCCCUAGAACCAUUUCCUGGAAUGUGAAGCCCUGGUGCCAUUAGCAAUCUACACGCAGAAAGUUUUGUGUACCUGCAUUUCUUUUUUGUGCACUCUAAGGCUGAUUGUGACUAAAAUCAGCUUAACUUUUUGUACUAGAUUAUUUCACUAACUGCUACAGUCAGAAUGAUCAAAUCUUUGUACAAUAGAAAAUUAUUUAAAAUUAUUUUUCUACUGACAUUUCUAAUUCUAGUGUAAAUGUUUAUCAAUAAAGAAUAACUUUCAAUUCUAUGAUUUGGGAUUGUAUUU